rnacentral:lncRNA from 1 species
UGUUUGGCCAACGAGGCAGCAAGUUAGAUGGGACUAGGAGUCAAAGAGGAUCCUGGGAAAUGUAGUAAAGAAGUGAUGAUCCAGGCAGGAAAUGACAUAGCAAGGAGACUCAUACAUAAACAUGGGCAGAAGGAAGUGGGCCCUCUCUUCCUCCAGAUUCGCCAUGUGUGGGAGAACGCCAAUGGAAGACAUCCGAUAAGCCUCAGGAAAUGAUCACAGCAUCAGCCAAACAAGACCAACAAGAUGGUUCCCUGGUUGGUCACAAUUUCAACCGAGAAGGAAAUGGAGGAGAGCCAUAUUUAAUAAAGGGGAAAUGAAGGCAACUGGAAUACCAGAGGAAUGUUCAAAGCCUUUCCCACACUCUUGUCCAGUGUUGACUUCUUGGGAUGAGUUGGCAAUCAAUGGGCAGGAAGGAAUUGGAGAGCUGCUUCAGGAUGCCUUCCUCAGGUGGAGAAAUAACAAGGGGAUAGCAAUGGAAAAAAAUGUUUGGAUGAAAGAAACACCCAUAAAAACUGUGACUCCUCCAUCUGAAGACUGCUUUCAUAUCUGUGACUCAGAAGGGAAUUGUGGCUCUUAUAAUGCAAUGAAACAUGUGGACUUCUGCAACUAUGUAAAUAUGGUUGGAAGAAUAAGCAGCAGCGUUGGUGUAGGUUCCUGUUCUGUGGAAUACAUAGCACACUGACAGAAGAAAGUGGAGGAGGCAUUGCUCAGGCAUCAUCUGCUAAAGGACAGAUAUUGUCUUAUUUACCAGCAGCCACUGAUUUGUGAAAG